ACUGCAAUACGCAUUUUUCAUCCCCAUUAACGCUUUCUAAAUAUUGAGGUACCUAGUGGAUUCUAACUUAAGUACACACUGUGUCUACUCUUCUUCCCCAGUGAGUUGUAAGAGCAGGGAACUGUUUUUAUUUUUCUUCCUCGAAAACAGCCCCCCUCUGCCACCACUCACCCAAACAAGACCUCCCUAAUGCCUGGCACAUUUCUUUCCAUAAUAUCUAUCACACAUACUGGCUGAUGGGCUGAGUUUAUUUGAAUUUCACCAUGAUUGAGCCCACACGUGAUAGCUGGGGACAUGAUUUCCUUAGCUUCUUGAAGGGUGUUGAACCCCUCUCAUGAAUCUGUUUUUAAGAGCUCUCUGUCUCACAGAGUCUCUACCUCAUUGUGAAUGGGCCAUGAUGGAUUCCAGUUGGCUGAGCCUCCGAGGUCGGAGGAGCACCAGGCCCCUCUUCAACAGGAUGUGGGAACAUGCUCCUCACCACAAAUUGAGUUCUCGGGGCAAGCUCAGGCUCUGCAGAAUGGGCAAGGGCACAGGUAGGAGGAGCUGAUGGCGGAAGCGGUGGGGGAGCCCUCACAGGACUGUCCGUGGCUUGUAAAGGUGAAGAUGGAGCUGCAGACAAGCCUGGCAGCCAGCCUCCUGCUGUGAGGCGUAAAGGAGGAAGAAGAAAACACCUGGCACGAGUGGGGUCUCUCUGGGAGCUGUGUUGCUUGGAUCCCCUCAACACAGGUGAACUUGGCCAUUUCGCUUCAGGAGGCUGGCCUAAGUACCUUAGCAGAAAACCUCUGCAUCAUUAUUCCCCCUCGUAUCACCUCAGGCACCUGUUCUGAAUCCUUUCCUUGUUCCUACUGUGUUCUCUCUUCUAGAGGGAAUUGAAGUAGAGGAAACGAGAUAGUUCAGCAGCAAGUAAAGCUCAGCCAGUGAUGGCCCACUUUCCAAAUUCUGUGUCACCUUGGACUCUCAAGGUAUAUUGAUGCUUUAGGCUUUUAUGUACCUUCUGUAUUUAAAAUCGGGCUUGAAAAUCACCAUCUUUCUACAAAGUAGAGCCUUCAAACCUUUCUGGUUAUCCUACCAAAUAGCUCCUGCACCAACACGGUUCUGACUUUGUCACGGCUUCUGAUGGCUUAAGCAAAAUGGAUCAGGAACUUCACUGUGACUUCUUACAUGUUUCUGAAGUUUGUUCUGCUAUAAGUUGUUGACUCCUUGAUGCUAAUGGAAUGGUGACAGGAUGUAGAGAAUACGAAGUCAGAUGUUGGUGGUAGGGAAUGACAAACAGCCCCCAAACCGUUUAUUUUUGUUAGCCAUUUUGCAUAGCUUAUAUAGAAAAUUUAACUUACAUUUGCUUACUGUAUAAUUCACUCAGCCUGAGUUAACUAAAUAUAUCAAUUAGAGGAUAGUCUCUGAGGAAUUUACAUUUUGGCUAACAAACUUGUAGGUAAUUGAAGUGUUUUCAUAGAUGUCUUACUAGCGGCUUAUUUGGAUCUUAAGACAAUAUUUAAGUACACUCCAUUAUGUGGAGUUCUUUCAUUUUUCCUGUGCCUCCAACUCUAUCAUCUCAAAGAGAUCUUAAUUUCAUUUACUAUUUCUAGUGGUUAUUCUACUUUUAUAUAUACGUAGUACACACCAGCAAAAUAAAACUUACUUUGCUAAAAACAUACGAGAUCUAAAAUAAAAACGCUUGAUGGCUGAGAAAGAUGCUGUUUGACCUGGGAAAAAAAUAACAUAGAAAUGUUCUGCUUCCUUUUUUCUCAGUCUCCAUGUUCCCUGCAGCACAGACACAAACACACAGACACACAUAGACACGGGAGCCUGGGCUGUGAGUUCUCUCUCUGCACUUGACAGGAAGUUAGAAACCGAAAGUGUAUGGUCUACAUGGAGUGGGCUGGGGUAGGGAGAUGAGGCCAUCUAUGGGGUUUUCUAGAGACUUCCUUCCCAGCAUGUGAAAGUCCUGUGAGAAGAAAUCGGCUCAGAAGAGGAAGGUGUUGACAAGUUAAUCAAGACUGGUUACAGUAAAGGAUCCGGAGUGUGAAUGGAGGAGAGUGAACCUAGCCAUUAGAAGUGAAGGAUUAUGAAAGAUUCCACAAACAGAAAGGGAAAAUUUGAAACCCCACUCUACAGAACAUGGCGAACCCUUCAUUAUGGCAGGUGGUGUGUUAGUACUUGUUCUACCCAUGGUCGCGACCAUAGCAGAUCUAAGAUGAGCAAGGAGACAAAGCAAGACAGGGAUAUGGGGCCUGAGGCCAAGACAUCCUGCUGGACUUUGCAACAUCACAGGCAAUCUGAAAAGGUUUUAGUAAUUGGAAGAGGAAAAUGAACGUGACUCGAAGUGGAGGAGAAAAUGAUCUUUCAACAAGAUCAAGCUUUUUGAAGACAUUCUACUGUCCGGAUGAAAUUUUGUUUGAUUGAGAAUAUUUUUUCAAAACUUUUAAGAUGUUUUAAAUGACUUACAUAUAAAUGUGGCAAAAAUGUCACAAAGGACCAAUGUCAUAUCUCUAAUAUAAAUAAAAACAAUAAAAAAUUACUUGAGUGGUAUAAGCACA